rnacentral:rRNA from 1 species
UCCGGAAUUAUUGGGCGUAAAGAGCUCGUAGGCGGUUUGUCGCGUCUGCCGUGAAAGUCCGGGGCUCAACUCCGGAUCUGCGGUGGGUACGGGCAGACUAGAGUGAUGUAGGGGAGACUGGAAUUCCUGGUGUAGCGGUGAAAUGCGCAGAUAUCAGGAGGAACACCGAUGGCGAAGGCAGGUCUCUGGGCAUUAACUGACGCUGAGGAGCGAAAGCAUGGGGAGCGAACAGGAUUAGAUACCCUGGUAGUCCAUGCCGUAAACGUUGGGCACUAGGUGUGGGGGACAUUCCACGUUUUCCGCGCCGUAGCUAACGCAUUAAGUGCCCCGCCUGGGGAGUACGGCCGCAAGGCUAAAACUCAAAGGAAUUGACGGGGGCCCGCACAAGCGGCGGAGCAUGCGGAUUAAUUCGAUGCAACGCGAAGAACCUUACCAAGGCUUGACAUGAACCGGAAAGACCUGGAAACAGGUGCCCCGCUUGCGGUCGGUUUACAGGUGGUGCAUGGUUGUCGUCAGCUCGUGUCGUGAGAUGUUGGGUUAAGUCCCGCAACGAGCGCAACCCUCGUUCUAUGUUGCCAGCACGUGAUGGUGGGGACUCAUAGGAGACUGCCGGGGUCAACUCGGAGGAAGGUGAGGACGACGUCAAAUCAUCAUGCCCCUUAUGUCUUGGGCUUCACGCAUGCUACAAUGGCCGGUACAAUGGGUUGCGAUACUGUGAGGUGGAGCUAAUCCCAAAAAGCCGGUCUCAGUUCGGAUUGGGGUCUGCAACUCGACCCCAUGAAGUCGGAGUCGCUAGUAAUCGCAGAUCAGCAACGCUGCGGUGAAUACGUUCCCGGGCCUUGUACACACCGCCCGUCAAGUCACGAAAGUUGGUAACACCCGAAGCCCAUGGCCCAACCCGUAAGGGAGGGAGUGGUCGAAU